rnacentral:tRNA from 1 species
CAGGGAGACAACAAAAUGUUUAAUAUUAUUAUUUUGUCACCUUAGGUCGAUCGGUAUCUCACAUUCUUAAUUUAUUAAGAAUUUCAUUUCCUAAGUUUUUCUAGGUCACACCCAUUAUUUUUCCUGGGCCAUUAGCUCAGGUGGUUAGAGCGCACCCCUGAUAAGGGUGAGGUCCCUGGUUCAAGUCCAGGAUGGCCCAUAUCUCUAUGUUGGGGGUAUAGCUCAGUUGGUAGAGCGCCUGCUUUGCAAGCAGGAUGUCAGCGGUUCGAGUCCGCUUACCUCCACUGAUUACCACCUCUUCCAUAACCGGUAGAAAGGAAAUGUUUUGAGUUGUGAUCAUUAUUCUGAACGAAUCCAGCUUCCUAAUGAAAUCAUUAAGAUGCUGGACUCAUUGAAUUAACUUCAUUGUUUUCAGAGAACCUUGACAACUGCAUAGAUUAUUUUUAAAGACAAUAAGCAUCUUUAAUGAUGCAGAUUUAUUAUUUGUGCGAAUGCAUUAAUAACAAUUCUAUUAAGCCGAUGCUUCAAUUUUUGAAGUUAUU